CUCACAAUAGGUACAAUCCAGUACCAUUGAAAUGAUUUGUGGGUUUUCCAUUCAUUCGUGUUUAUCCCAUUUUUGUUACCUUGAAAGGCUUUAGUGUUUUUAUACAAUUUUUUGUGGUUUUAUAUGGCAGACACAUUGGGAGACAGAACAACAUGUCAAUCACAGUAAUCAGGUACAGUCUGCCUUUCUGUGCAGAGCUUCUGAAAAUUAAUGCACAUACAAUUGCUCCCUUUUAGACAAACAUAAUUAUCCUUCUCUCAAAAAUAUUUGAGAGAAAAAUAGAGUCGUGUUACUAAUGAAACCACGUCUACUCAGAUAGCAAAAAGACUGGGAAGUGCUGCUCUACCCAAUAUUUCUUGUUCUGAUCUAGGCGUGACACCUCUUUCAAAAAUUUAAUUGUUUAGAUUUUAAGCCCAUCCUCACCUCAGGGCCACUUUGCUUUCUUCCUCUUGCCCACCCUCUUUGAGGAAGCCCUAGGGCAAGUAGAUGGGGCAUGUCAUCCAUGAGUGUGAUGCCACUGGGGUCGAGGAACAGGAGGUGGCAAGCACCCACAAGUGGUUAGCAUCCAGCAGUGGUGAGCACUGGGUGCCAGGCAGCAGUGAUGGGCAGGAGAUGGGAGAUGGCCCCUGGCCCCUCCCUAGAACUUCGGGAGGAGAGUGAUUUGAUCAGUGCUAGCAAUGGUGUAGUGCAGUUGAAUGAACUGAACUACAGUGGUACCUCGGGUUAAGUACUUAAUUUGUUCCGGAG